rnacentral:lncRNA from 1 species
CUCUAUUUUAAUUAAAUUAAAUCGUUCAUUGUUAAAAGCUUCUAGAAGUUUACUUUUUUCUGGCUUAAAGGGAUAAUACUAAGGUACAACUCUACUAGAGUCUCAUGAAAACUUCAGUGAUCAAAAGCUGCUCUCCUCCCUUUGAGAAACCCCUCUUUUAACCCUUACAAGAGGAAGAGGACAGAUUGUGGAAAUGGCCCAAACAUUUAGAAAAAAGAAAUAUCAGAGAAGGAUUCAGAGAUAUUUUUAAAAAUGACUGAGAGAUGCUGGAUUUGAUGAUGAAGAUAUUGGUCAUGUUGGAGAGAUUCGGUUUCAGUACAAUAAUAAGGAAAGAUGUUGGGAAGCUCCCAAUGGCAGAAGAAGUCAACCAGAAUGAUGAAGGGUCAUGAGACCCUGCCAGAAGAUGCUUCCUUGAAGGAGCUGGGAAUGUUUAACCUGUAGAAGAAAAAACGUAUGCGGCAACAUGAUAGCCAUCUGCAACUCUUUGAAGGGAUUUUUAAUAGAGCAAUCAGACUUCUGCUUUACCUCAGAUAGCAAAAGUAUGAGGAAAAGGUGAAUGUUGCAAAGAAGCAGAAUUGAAAUUCUGAUGAGGAAAGAACAUUAUUUUUAAUUGAGUUUCCCAGAUACAAAAUGGGUGGCUUCAGA